GGUGCUUGGAGUCUCGUGAUCACCCCCCUCAAUCUGUGUUUGAUUAUCAUAUACCCAGAGGCGGCGGAAUGUAAGUUGCUACACGAGACAUAUCGGGUAAAAAAAAAAAUACAUAUGUUAGUUCCUAGACGACCAAAAAAAGGUAGGUACGUAGUUUAUUCCUAUGUCACCAAAACAAGUUAUUUUUAUUUUAAACUGUUUUAAAAAAAUAAAAAAUAUAUGUAAUAAAUUGUGUGAAUGUAAAAUUGUAUAAAAAAA